rnacentral:rRNA from 1 species
GACGAACGCUGGCGGCGUGCCUAAUACAUGCAAGUAGAACGCUGAAGAGAGGAGCUUGCUCUUCUUGGAUGAGUUGCGAACGGGUGAGUAACGCGUAGGUAACCUGCCUUGUAGCGGGGGAUAACUAUUGGAAACGAUAGCUAAUACCGCAUAACAAUGGAUGACCCAUGUCAUUUAUUUGAAAGGGGCAAAUGCUCCACUACAAGAUGGACCUGCGUUGUAUUAGCUAGUAGGUGAGGUAACGGCUCACCUAGGCGACGAUACAUAGCCGACCUGAGAGGGUGAUCGGCCACACUGGGACUGAGACACGGCCCAGACUCCUACGGGAGGCAGCAGUAGGGAAUCUUCGGCAAUGGGGGCAACCCUGACCGAGCAACGCCGCGUGAGUGAAGAAGGUUUUCGGAUCGUAAAGCUCUGUUGUAAGUCAAGAACGAGUGUGAGAGUGGAAAGUUCACACUGUGACGGUAGCUUACCAGAAAGGGACGGCUAACUACGUGCCAGCAGCCGCGGUAAUACGUAGGUCCCGAGCGUUGUCCGGAUUUAUUGGGCGUAAAGCGAGCGCAGGCGGUUUGAUAAGUCUGAAGUUAAAGGCUGUGGCUCAACCAUAGUUCGCUUUGGAAACUGUCAAACUUGAGUGCAGAGGGGGAGAGUGGAAUUCCAUGUGUAGCGGUGAAAUGCGUAGAUAUAUGGAGGAACACCGGUGGCGAAAGCGGCUCUCUGGUCUGUAACUGACGCUGAGGCUCGAAAGCGUGGGGAGCGAACAGGAUUAGAUACCCUGGUAGUCCACGCCGUAAACGAUGAGUGCUAGGUGUUGGAUCCUUUCCGGGAUUCAGUGCCGCAGCUAACGCAUUAAGCACUCCGCCUGGGGAGUACGACCGCAAGGUUGAAACUCAAAGGAAUUGACGGGGGCCCGCACAAGCGGUGGAGCAUGUGGUUUAAUUCGAAGCAACGCGAAGAACCUUACCAGGUCUUGACAUCCCGAUGCUAUUUCUAGAGAUAGAAAGUUACUUCGGUACAUCGGUGACAGGUGGUGCAUGGUUGUCGUCAGCUCGUGUCGUGAGAUGUUGGGUUAAGUCCCGCAACGAGCGCAACCCCUAUUGUUAGUUGCCAUCAUUCAGUUGGGCACUCUAGCGAGACUGCCGGUAAUAAACCGGAGGAAGGUGGGGAUGACGUCAAAUCAUCAUGCCCCUUAUGACCUGGGCUACACACGUGCUACAAUGGUUGGUACAACGAGUUGCGAGUCGGUGACGGCAAGCUAAUCUCUUAAAGCCAAUCUCAGUUCGGAUUGUAGGCUGCAACUCGCCUACAUGAAGUCGGAAUCGCUAGUAAUCGCGGAUCAGCACGCCGCGGUGAAUACGUUCCCGGGCCU